rnacentral:rRNA from 1 species
GGGUUGUGAGGUUAAGCGACUAAGCGUACACGGUGGAUGCCCUGGCAGUCAGAGGCGAUGAAGGACGUGCUAAUCUGCGAAAAGCGUCGGUAAGGUGAUAUGAACCGUUACAGCCGGCGAUGUCCGAAUGGGGAAACCCAGUGCAAUUCGUUGCACUAUCGUUAACUGAAUACAUAGGUUAACGAGGCGAACCGGGGGAACUGAAACAUCUAAGUACCCCGAGGAAAAGAAAUCAACCGAGAUUCCCCCAGUAGCGGCGAGCGAACGGGGAGCAGCCCAGAGUCUGAAUCAGCUUGUGUGUUAGUGGAACGGUCUGGAAAGUCCGACGGUACAGGGUGAUAGUCCCGUACACCAAAAUGCACAGGCUGUGAACUCGAAGAGUAGGGCGGGACACGUGGUAUCCUGUCUGAAUAUGGGGGGACCAUCCUCCAAGGCUAAAUACUCCUGACUGACCGAUAGUGAACCAGUACCGUGAGGGAAAGGCGAAAAGAACCCCGGCGAGGGGAGUGAAAAAGAACCUGAAACCGUGUACGUACAAGCAGUGGGAGCACCUUCGGGUGUGACUGCGUACCUUUUGUAUAAUGGGUCAGCGACUUAUAUUCUGUAGCAAGGUUAACCGUAUAGGGGAGCCGCAGGGAAACCGAGUCUUAACUGGGCGUUAAGUUGCAGGGUAUAGACCCGAAACCCGGUGAUCUAGCCAUGGGCAGGUUGAAGGUUGGGUAACACUAACUGGAGGACCGAACCGACUAAUGUUGAAAAAUUAGCGGAUGACUUGUGGCUGGGGGUGAAAGGCCAAUCAAACCGGGAGAUAGCUGGUUCUCCCCGAAAGCUAUUUAGGUAGCGCCUCGUGAACUCAUCUUCGGGGGUAGAGCACUGUUUCGGCUAGGGGGUCAUCCCGACUUACCAACCCGAUGCAAACUACGAAUACCGAAGAAUGUUAUCACGGGAGACACACGGCGGGUGCUAACGUCCGUCGUGAAGAGGGAAACAACCCAGACCGCCAGCUAAGGUCCCAAAGUCAUGGUUAAGUGGGAAACGAUGUGGGAAGGCACAGACAGCCAGGAUGUUGGCUUAGAAGCAGCCAUCAUUUAAAGAAAGCGUAAUAGCUCACUGGUCGAGUCGGCCUGCGCGGAAGAUGUAACGGGGCUAAACCAUGCACCGAAGCUGCGGCAGCGACACUAUGUGUUGUUGGGUAGGGGAGCGUUCUGUAAGCCUGCGAAGGUGACCUGUGAGGGUUGCUGGAGGUAUCAGAAGUGCGAAUGCUGACAUAAGUAACGAUAAAGCGGGUGAAAAGCCCGCUCGCCGGAAGACCAAGGGUUCCUGUCCAACGUUAAUCGGGGCAGGGUGAGUCGACCCCUAAGGCGAGGCCGAAAGGCGUAGUCGAUGGGAAACAGGUUAAUAUUCCUGUACUUGGUGUUACUGCGAAGGGGGGACGGAGAAGGCUAUGUUAGCCGGGCGACGGUUGUCCCGGUUUAAGCAUGUAGGCUGGUUAUCCAGGCAAAUCCGGAUAAUCAAGGCUGAGGUGUGAUGACGAGGCACUACGGUGCUGAAGUAACAAAUGCCCUGCUUCCAGGAAAAGCCUCUAAGCAUCAGGUAACAUCAAAUCGUACCCCAAACCGACACAGGUGGUCAGGUAGAGAAUACCAAGGCGCUUGAGAGAACUCGGGUGAAGGAACUAGGCAAAAUGGUGCCGUAACUUCGGGAGAAGGCACGCUGGUGUGUAGGUGAAGUCCCUGCGGAUGGAGCUGAGACCAGUCGAAGAUACCAGCUGGCUGCAACUGUUUAUUAAAAACACAGCACUGUGCAAACACGAAAGUGGACGUAUACGGUGUGACGCCUGCCCGGUGCCGGAAGGUUAAUUGAUGGGGUUAUCCGUAAGGAGAAGCUCUUGAUCGAAGCCCCGGUAAACGGCGGCCGUAACUAUAACGGUCCUAAGGUAGCGAAAUUCCUUGUCGGGUAAGUUCCGACCUGCACGAAUGGCGUAAUGAUGGCCAGGCUGUCUCCACCCGAGACUCAGUGAAAUUGAACUCGCUGUGAAGAUGCAGUGUACCCGCGGCAAGACGGAAAGACCCCGUGAACCUUUACUAUAGCUUGACACUGAACAUUGAGCCUUGAUGUGUAGGAUAGGUGGGAGGCUUUGAAGCGUGGACGCCAGUCUGCGUGGAGCCAACCUUGAAAUACCACCCUUUAAUGUUUGAUGUUCUAACGUGGGCCCCUAAUCGGGGUUGCGGACAGUGUCUGGUGGGUAGUUUGACUGGGGCGGUCUCCUCCCAAAGCGUAACGGAGGAGCACGAAGGUUAGCUAAUCCUGGUCGGACAUCAGGAGGUUAGUGCAAUGGCAUAAGCUAGCUUGACUGCGAGCGUGACGGCGCGAGCAGGUGCGAAAGCAGGUCAUAGUGAUCCGGUGGUUCUGAAUGGAAGGGCCAUCGCUCAACGGAUAAAAGGUACUCCGGGGAUAACAGGCUGAUACCGCCCAAGAGUUCAUAUCGACGGCGGUGUUUGGCACCUCGAUGUCGGCUCAUCACAUCCUGGGGCUGAAGUAGGUCCCAAGGGUAUGGCUGUUCGCCAUUUAAAGUGGUACGCGAGCUGGGUUUAGAACGUCGUGAGACAGUUCGGUCCCUAUCUGCCGUGGGCGCUGGAGAAUUGAGGGGGGCUGCUCCUAGUACGAGAGGACCGGAGUGGACGCAUCACUGGUGUUCGGGUUGUCAUGCCAAUGGCACUGCCCGGUAGCUAAAUGCGGAAGAGAUAAGUGCUGAAAGCAUCUAAGCACGAAACUUGCCCCGAGAUGAGUUCUCCCUGAGACUAUAAGUCUCCUGAAGGAACGUUGAAGACGACGACGUUGAUAGGCCGGGUGUGUAAGCGCAGCGAUGCGUUGAGCUAACCGGUACUAAUGAACCGUGAGGCUUAACCUUACAACGCCGAAG